GUAUUAUGUUUUUAAAAGAGUUGUUACACUCUUCAAAAAGAAAGACAUUCUAAACAUUCAAUUGUGUGUGUAAAAACAUAGGAUAGAAAAGACCCCUUCAAGCAACAGGCCCAGAGCUAACUAGGCCAUGAGUUCCUUUACUUGGAAUCUUUCCUUCCUACAAAAUGUGCACAGGUGGGAUGAAGAUUUUUGAAGGCUAAUAGCAAGCACAUGCCUCGAGAGGCCAGCUCAACCACAACCUACAAAGUUUUUCAAUAAUGAUCCUUCCGCAGGUUCACCUACGGAAA
rnacentral:misc_RNA from 1 species